GAUGGACGCUGGCGGUGUGCCUAAUACAUGCAAGUCGAGCGAACAGACGAGGAGCUUACUCCUCUGACGUUAGCGGCGGACGGGUGAGUAACACGUGGAUAACCUACCUAUAAGACUGGGAUAACUUCGGGAAACCUGAGCUAAUACCGGAUAACAUGUUGAACCGCAUGGUUCAACAGUGAAAGACGGUCUUGCUGUCACUUAUAGAUGGAUCCGCGUCGCAUUAGCUAGUUGGUAAGGUAACGGCUUACCAAGGCAACGAUGCGUAGCCGACCUGAGAGGGUGAUCAGUCACACUGGAACUGAGACACGGUCCAGACUCCUACGGGAGGCAGCAGUGGGGAAUCUUCCGCAAUGGGCGAAAGCCUGACGGAGCAACGCCGCGUGAGUGAAGAAGGUCUUCGGAUCGUAAAACUCUGUUAGUAGGGAAGAAGAAAUGUGUAAGUAACUAUGCACGUCUUGACGGUACCUAAUCAGAAAGCCACGGCUAACUACGUG
rnacentral:rRNA from 1 species